rnacentral:lncRNA from 1 species
CGACUUACACCGGCACCGGGCCUGCGAGCUUGCCCAUAGCUCGCGCAUUGAAGGUCUAUUGUUGCAUUCGUGGUGGUAGUUGAAGGAGCCCAUACAUGAGCGGAAACUUCGAUAUUCAACGACUAACGAUAGCUUAUACGCUCGACGAACCCUUAACUAACUAACUCCACCAUAUUCGAACGUGCACAAACCUCUGUAAAAUAGAAGGCUUACCACUGUGCUAUAUUCGAAGUAAGUUGACAUCGAAAGUGAAUCCUUUUCGAUUUCGGCUCCUCAUAGGGAAACGAUACAGAUAGGAAUAAGGGUAGGAUGACUAAUCACUUAGAUUCCUCAACUAACCCUCACAACCAUUUCUAUCUGGACUCGGGCCCAUCUGCACGCCCAUAUCUUAUCUGGUCGACAUCCUUUUUGUCCAGAGAACACCGAACAUCGAGGCGAGGUGCGUUCCGUCUAGGUUUAAAUAAAAAGAAUCCAGCUCGGAGACAUAACCGGAAACUAGAAUAUAAAACUAUGGAAUCCAUCAAUUCCACCUUUUAUGUUCUCAGAAAAGAAAAUGCCGCGAAUAGUCUCCUCGGGGACUUGGGCGGGUCGCGGUUCAAGGGCUAAAUAGCGCCAGUGGGAGCCCGAAACGACGUUUUAGGGAAUUCCAGAAGGGUAGAGCACGAACCCUUCUUCAAACGGACCUUCAUUCUAUGAUUAGAUUCGCAACCAGGGAACCUAAAGAGGCAGGUAAGGGUGGACCGAACUAGCGCUCGUUUAGGAUGAUUUCGCAAUUCUAGCCGAUUGUUCUCGAGUCCGCGCGAUGAAGCAGCAUCCUCGAGCUCGAGAACCCCUGUCUAAUAUGUUCCAAACCCAUAAUAUAAAAAAGUCUAGUCAGAGGGCUAAAGCAGACUGGGGCCAAUUACUCGAGAGUGGGGCUAAGAAAAAAAUUGGUUGUAACUAAAGUCCUUCUUUAACUGAACUGGUCAUUUAGGCAAAUUGUUCAUAAAAAAAUGUCCUCACACCUCCAAAUGAGCUUCCUUCAACGCCAAGUAAGUCGAACGGAAACCCAGG